CAACUUGAGAGUUUGAUCCUGGCUCAGAACGAACGCUGGCGGCAGGCCUAACACAUGCAAGUCGAG
rnacentral:rRNA from 1 species